UACGUAGGGUGCGAGCGUUGUCCGGAAUUAUUGGGCGUAAAGGGCUCGUAGGCGGUUUGUCGCGUCGGGAGUGAAAACACGGGGCUUAACCCCGCGCCUGCUUCCGAUACGGGCAGACUAGAGGUAUGCAGGGGAGAACGGAAUUCCUGGUGUAGCGGUGAAAUGCGCAGAUAUCAAGAGGAACACCAGUGGCGAAGGCGAGUCCCUGGACGAUACCUGACACUGAGGCACGAAAGCUAGGGGAGCAAACAGG
rnacentral:rRNA from 1 species